AGUGAACGCUGGCGGUAGGCCUAACACAUGCAAGUCGAACGGCAGCACAGUAAGAGCUUGCUCUUACGGGUGGCGAGUGGCGGACGGGUGGGGAAUACAUCGGAAUCUACUUUUUCGUGGGGGAUAACGUAGGGAAACUUACGCUAAUACCGCAUACGACCUACGGGUGAAAGCAGGGGAUCUUCGGACCUUGCGCGAUUGAAUGAGCCGAUGUCGGAUUAGCUAGUUGGCGGGGUAAAGGCCCACCAAGGCGACGAUCCGUAGCUGGUCUGAGAGGAUGAUCAGCCACACUGGAGCUGAGACACGGUCCAGACUCCGACGGGAGGCAGCAGUGGGGAAUAUUGGGCAAUGGGCGGAAGCCUGAUCCAGCCAUACCGCGUGGGUGAAGAAGGCCUUCGGGUUGUAAAGCCAUUUUGUUGGGAAAGAAAAGCAGCAGGUUAAUACCCCGCUGUUCUGACGGUACCCAAAGAAUAAACACCGGCUAACUUCGU
rnacentral:rRNA from 1 species